CCUACGGGAGGCAGCAGUCGAGAAUCAUUCACAAUGGGGGAAACCCUGAUGGUGCGACGCCGCGUGGGGGAAUGAAGGUCUUCGGAUUGUAAACCCCUGUCAUGUGGGAGCAAAUGAAAAAGAUAGUACCACAAGUUGAAGGUACCGCUAACUCUGUGCCAGCAGCCGCGGUAAUACAGAGGUCUCAAGCGUUGUUCGGAAUCACUGGGCGUAAAGCGUGCGUAGGCUGUUUGGUAAGUCGUGUGUGAAAGGCGCGGGCUCAACCCGCGAACGGCACAUGAUACUGCGGGACUAGAGUAAUGGCAGGGGUACCGGAAUUCAUGGUGUAGCAGUGAAAUGCGUAGAUAUCGAGAGGAACACUCGUGGCGAAGGCGAGUUCCUGGACAGUAACUGACGCUGAGGCACGAAGGCCAGGGGAGCGAAAGGGAUUAGAUACCCCAGUAGUC
rnacentral:rRNA from 1 species